CCUCGGGCGGCAGCAGUGGGGAAUAUUGGACAAUGGGCGAAAGCCUGAUCCAGCCAUGCCGCGUGUGUGAAGAAGGCCUUCGGGUUGUAAAGCACUUUCAGUGGGGAAGAAAGCCUUGGGGCUAAUACCCUCGAGGAAGGACAUCACCCACAGAAGAAGCACCGGCUAACUCCGUGCCAGCAGCCGCGGUAAUACGGAGGGUGCGAGCGUUAAUCGGAAUUACUGGGCGUAAAGCGCGCGUAGGCGGUCUGAUAAGCCGGUUGUGAAAGCCCCGGGCUCAACCUGGGAACGGCAUCCGGAACUGUCAGGCUAGAGUGCAGGAGAGGAAGGUAGAAUUCCCGGUGUAGCGGUGAAAUGCGUAGAGAUCGGGAGGAAUACCAGUGGCGAAGGCGGCCUUCUGGACUGACACUGACGCUGAGGUGCGAAAGCGUGGGUAGCAAACAGGAUUAGAUACCCCGGUAGUC
rnacentral:rRNA from 1 species